AUCCAGCUGACGAGUCCUAAAAAUAGGACGAAAUGUACGUCCCAGAU
rnacentral:hammerhead_ribozyme from 1 species